rnacentral:rRNA from 1 species
AACGAACGCUGGCGGCAUGCCUAACACAUGCAAGUCGAACGAGACCUUCGGGUCUAGUGGCGCACGGGUGCGUAACGCGUGGGAACCUGCCCUUAGGUUCGGAAUAACUCCCCGAAAGGGGUGCUAAUACCGGAUAAUGUCUUCGGACCAAAGAUUUAUCGCCUGUGGAUGGGCCCGCGUUGUAUUACCUUGUUGGUAGGGUAAAGGCCUACCAAGGCGACGUUCCAUAGCUGGUCUGAGAGGAUGAUCAGCCACACUGGGACUGAGACACGGCCCAGACUUCUGCGGGAGGCAGCAGUGGGGAAUAUUGGACAACGGGCGAAAGCCUGAUCCAGCAAUGACGAGUGAGUGAUGAAGGGCUUAGGGUUGUAAAGCUCUUUUACCCGGGAUGAUAAUGACAGUACCGGGAGAAGAAGCCCCGGCUAACUCGGU